rnacentral:rRNA from 1 species
UACGGGGGGGGCAAGCGUUGUUCGGAAUUACUGGGCGUAAAGGGCGCGUAGGCGGCCCGCUAAGUCGAACGUGAAAUCCCCGGGCUCAACCCGGGAACUGCGUCCGAUACUGGCAGGCUUGAAUCCGGGAAAGGGAUGUGGAAUUCCGGGUGUAGUGGUGAAAUGCGUAGAGAUCCGGAGGAACCCCAGAGGCGAAGGCGGCGUCCUGGCUCGCAUCUGACGCUCAGACACGACAGCAUGGGGAGCGAACGGG